AGAAAUCAGAGGAAGAGAAAUGAGAGAUGGAGAUCCAGAGAGUGAGGGAACCGCGAGGAAGAAGAGAUGAAGAAGGGCGUGGCGUUGGCGGCUGGGUACCGCCGCCGUUCAACUCUUCGUCGCGCCGUCCACGUCGAGCUCGUCCCAUCACUGUCAUGUCACGAAGGAAGGGUCGCCGCCGUUCGUGCCUUGCCGUCAC
rnacentral:lncRNA from 1 species